rnacentral:rRNA from 1 species
AGCGAACGCUGGCGGCAGGCCUAAUACAUGCAAGUCGAGCGGGUGUAGCAAUACACCAGCGGCAGACGGGAGAGUAACACGUGGGAACGUGCCCUUCAGUUCGGAACAACCCAGGGAACUUGGGCUAAUACCGGAUACGUCCGUAAGGAGAAAGAUUUAUCGCUGAAGGAUCGGCCCGCGUCUGAUUAGCUUGUUGGUGAGGUAACGGCUCACCAAGGCGACGAUCAGUAGCUGGUCUGAGAGGAUGAUCAGCCUCACUGGGACUGAGACACGGCCCAGACUCCUACGGGAGGCAGCAGUAGGGAAUAUUGGACAAUGGGCGCAAGCCUGAUCCAGCCAUGCCGCGUGGGUGAUGAAGGCCCUAGGGUUGUAAAGCCCUUUCGGCGGGGAAGAUAAUGACGGUACCCGCAGAAGAAGCCCCGGCUAACUUCGUGCCAGCAGCCGCCGUAACAC